UCCUACGGGAGGCAGCAGUGGGGAAUAUUGGACAAUGGGCGAAAGCCUGAUCCAGCAAUGCCGCGUGAGUGAUGAAGGCCUUAGGGUUGUAAAGCUCUUUUACCCGGGAUGAUAAUGACAGUACCGGGAGAAUAAGCUCCGGCUAACUCCGUGCCAGCAGCCGCGGUAAUACGUAGGGUGCGAGCGUUGUCC
rnacentral:rRNA from 1 species